GUCUACAGCCACACCACCCUGAACACGCCCAAUCUCCUUUGAUCUCAGAAGCUAAGCAGGGUUGGGCCUGGCUAGUACUUGGAUGGGAGAAAGACAGAGAUACACA
ensembl:rRNA 5S_rRNA 5S ribosomal RNA